rnacentral:rRNA from 1 species
GACGAACGCUGGCGGCGUGCCUAACACAUGCAAGUCGAGCGAAUGAAGUUCCUUCGGGACUGGAUUUAGCGGCGGACGGGUGAGUAACACGUGGGCAACCUGCCUCAUAGAGGGGAAUAGCCUCCCGAAAGGGAGAUUAAUACCGCAUAAGAUUGUAGUACCGCAUGAUACAGCAAUUAAAGGAGCAAUCCGCUAUGAGAUGGGCCCGCGGCGCAUUAGCUAGUUGGUGAGGUAAUGGCUCACCAAGGCGACGAUGCGUAGCCGACCUGAGAGGGUGAUCGGCCACAUUGGGACUGAGACACGGCCCAGACUCCUACGGGAGGCAGCAGUGGGGAAUAUUGCACAAUGGGGGAAACCCUGAUGCAGCAACGCCGCGUGAGUGAUGACGGCCUUCGGGUUGUAAAGCUCUGUCUUCAGGGACGAUAAUGACGGUACCUGAGGAGGAAGCCACGGCUAACUACGUG